rnacentral:misc_RNA from 1 species
UCCGGUUUGGCACCGGCAGUCUCCGUAGAGUCCCCGACAUUACUCGCUGGCAACUACGAACAGGGGUUGCGCUCGUUGCGCCACUUAACCCAACAUCUCACGACACGAGCUGACGACAGCCAUGCAGCACCUCGACUCCAGUCCCUUGCGGGAAGACCGUGUUUCCACCGGCGUUGGGAAGCCGUUCGAGCCCAGGUAAGGUUCUUCGCGUUGCGUCGAAUUGAACCACAUGCUCCACCGCUUGUGCGGGCCCCCGUCAAUUCCUUUGAGUUUCAACCUUGCGGUCGUACUCCCCAGGCGGGGUACUUCCUGCGUUAGCGCCGGCACCCAGAGGGUCGCUCCCCCAGGCACCUAGUACCCAUCGUUUACGGCGUGGACUAC